CCUACGGGAGGCUGCAGUAGGGAAUAUUGCUCAAUGGUGGAAACCCUGAAGCAGCAACGCCGCGUGGAGGAUGAAGGUUUUCGGAUUGUAAACUCCUUUUGUUAGAGAAGAUAAUGACGGUAUCUAACGAAUAAGCACCGGCUAACUCCGGGCCAGCAGCCGGGGUAAUAUGUAGGGUGCAAGCGUUACUCGGAAUCACUGGGCGUAAAGAGGGGGUAGGCGGGAUAGCAAGUCAGAUGUGAGAUCCUAGGGCUUAAACAGAGAACUGCGUUUGAAACUGUUAUUCUAGAGUGGGAGAGAGGGAUGUGGAAUGCGUGGUGUAGGGGUGAAAUGCAUAGAGAUCAGGAAGAA
rnacentral:rRNA from 1 species